rnacentral:lncRNA from 1 species
AAAUCCUGUACUCAUGGCAAUCCUGGGACAUGAGACCCUAGCUCUGGAUGCCUCUGAGAGCCAGUCAAUGGCUCCCUAACCAGAGCAUGAACUCUGUCCCCUAGGAGAAGCACUCAGAAUCCUCCAUGACGUGACUGCUCUCUCACUGGCCAUCUUCUGCCACAUGCAUCCUCCGUUCCAGCCUCACACAAGCACGGGGCGGUUCUCCGACGGUGCCGCGUCCUGAGGUGUCUACGCCUUCACGCACUCUGCUCCGCCCCCCUCAUCUCUCGACCAGCUCCCACUCAUCCUCCAAGAAUCUGCUCCAUCAUUACCUCCUCCAGCAGCCUCACUCAAACCAGCCUCCGGAGGAAUUAGCCGGGUCCUCCUCCUGUCUCCCUGGGCCACUGGGCAGCUCCGCAGAGCCGGGUCCCGGCUGAAGGCGGUAACGGUCAGUUCCACCCUCAAGCCAGUGCAGGGCGGCAGCCUGGCCUGGUGGCAAGAACCCUCGUGUUCCCACACGCCACAGCCUUAUGACUGGAGGAUGUUUUCUAAAAGCCAUCUCUCGCUGUGAAGCAACAUGACUGAGGACCGCCCAUCCUUCUACCUGACUCAUCCAUAAGGAGAUUCCUGAACAAUGGUCCCUUAAGGCUAACGAUGUUUAUUUGAGGGGGGAGCUGCCGCUGCAGCAUGGCCGCUGACAGACGAGGAGCAUAGGUCCAUGCCUGGGAACCAAACCUGAACCGCCGAAGUGGAGCAUGCAGAACUUUACCGCUGGGCCACCAGGGCUGGCCUGAGAACCCUAUUCCUUGAGUGUUUUCUUCCUCACUUAUUCUACUCAAACCAGCAUUUGCCCCAAUCUUAUUAUUCAUGUUGUUUUAAUUUAUUAAACAUAUUUCUUAUCAGCCA